AAAGAGGGACAGAGGCAGGGAUGUUGUAAGUGUCUUGAAAUUCUACUUGACAACACUUAGUACACUGCCGGCAGAGAGACCACGGCAAAGCAGCCACCAGGAAUGUCUUCUGGAAGCAAGAGGACGCUGGGUUAGGGAGGAACCUGUUACCUGCAGGGAGAAGCACCAGAAUCGCUCUGAGUUAGGCCCUUCCUGCUUCCUAGGCUCCGGUGUCUUUUUCCGCCUCCAGCCCUCCACCCUUGACGUUGGACAACCGCCUCUGGCCGCCGGGUGCGGGUGGAAGGCUCCCCAGAGCCUCUUCAAGACGUGGUGUCAAGGAAGUGAGUCCAUACAGGCGGAAAACCCCAAAAGAGUCGGAAGGUGCUGCUGGCCCCAUGACAUUUCAGGUGGAAACGCAGGCCUGGGGAAGACCACCUACUAGCGUAAUUUCAGAGCCUCAGAAUCCUUCAUCUCGGAUGGGGCUCAGUAACACCCACCUCGAUGGGUUGCUGUAAGGAUUAGAUGAAAACUGAUAGCCUGCUUCACUCCAUGUUACUUCCUUCCUCCCCAAAAUGCCAUGUUUUAGUCAAGGUCCAGCAGUGAUGCAGUAUCCUGGUGUAAAACGCCAUUUUUAGACUUUUCAUAAGAUAAUUUCAGAUUUCUAGGUGAAGCAUGGAAACCAAAUAAGUCCUGGAAGCUGAAACUGGGGAUUGCUUUCACGGGAGGUGCUGGGCUGGGUCCUUCUGCGCUCAGUGUCAUCUUGACUCUGGCAGUAGGAUUGGCCCAGCCAGUUGGUCUGGGUGCCUGCCGAGCCCACAGCCUGACUCAGGGAAGAGCCAGGCUUGCUCUGCAACAUGGGACUCUCCUGGCCACCACUGUUGGGCCCUGACCCAAGGACAGCUAAGCCAUGAGCUCCAAGUAAACCUUGAGGUGCUCAGAGUGAGGUGACUAGUUAGCUUAGCAAGUAAAUAACUCAGCGGGCCUCCUCUCAAAUAUUUCAGUGGGAAUAUGGAGAGAUCGAGGCAUGACAUAGUGGACGGCCACAAGGGAAGAUGUGAAGCAGGUCUCUUAGUCAUGGGAACUUAGGAGCACGUUCUCUUGAACUCCCUAGGCUCUAGCAGCUUUCUUGUUCCAGGGCUCCAUGAGGCUGUCUGUCCAUUUUUGCCAGAUGUCCGUCUUCCUCAUCGCCAUGGGUGUUUUAGAGUAAAUUCCCAGUACUUGAAGAAACCAGAGUGAGUGCCUGUCCCUUACAACUCAAAGGCCCACCUUUUAUUAGGCCUGUCUAAAUAAUGUAAGGCUGUUCUCUAACCAUAAGCAGCCAGGGUGGGGAGAGGCAUAUAAUGGGCACAAUAUAAAACCGUUCAGAAGAGUUGUCCUUUAUCAGUUAGUAAGGGCCUCCCUGCUGUCAGAGGAUCUGCUGUAAAAUCUCAAGAAAUAACUUCUCAUAUCCCAACACUGUUUUCUCUGUCCUUGGAGACGGUCGGGAAGAGGGGACAAGACUGAUUUACUUAGUCCUUUGUGCUGGUGGGGCCUGGCUGGGGCUGAAUUUAUGUCAUUGCUCUUCAUCAAGAAUGUGGCUUUCUCCCUCUGAUGAGAUGUCCCUCAGCAUUGAUUGUUAGCUCGGAGCUUGCUGAGAGAUUAAACUUGGGCUCAGACAACCCAGUGGGGGUCGAUGGCCCAGGAAAGAUUAUGAUAAGGCAGGGGUGAGGGACAGGAAGGAGGGUGGUGUGCUGGAAUUUAGGAUAAUUGAAUUUGCUGUGCAGCCAGCAGUUAUGACCUGGGUCAUCCGCUGGAUCUUGGGUCGUAAAUCCACUAAGACCAGGAAAUUCCAGGGUUAGGCCAAUCUUUCCAUUUUUUCUCAGAGACUAAGAUGGUUGAGGAUUUAGAGAGAAAUGGUUUUCACCUUCUAAAGAAGCUGUGACUCUGAGCAAACUAAUAUUUUUGCAUUACGAUACUUAACGUGUAUUUCGGAAACCAAGUAUCAGUCCCUCCGUCUUUUUGUCAAGUUUCUCCCAGGAAAACCAGCAGGACCUCCUAUUUAUGGACAAUUGUCUAUCUGCUCUGAUUACCCAAAGUGCUGGAGGUGGAGUGGGCUCCCUCCAGGGGCCUACUGCUUGUGAAUUAUGAGACCCUGUUUCGACUCCAAUUUUCUCUCCAUUGCCUUUCGGGCAUUUGCUAAGGCAAAGCUGUGGGACCAUUUGUAAUUAACCCACAACAAACUGAACAGCUGAUCUCCUGAAAUCUAGAUAUUUCUUGCAAAGUAAGACUUGACCUAAGGCACACUGUAUGCAAGUAAUUUUUAUGGUGUCUCCAGAAUUUUCUGGAAAUGCUACAAAUACUCCAGGAUAUUCCUCUUGGAAUGAACCAAAUUUCCCAUAGGUGAGGUGCUUGAAUCCUCUGGGUGAAUGCAGGUGUCCUAAGAAUGUAGGACAGCUUAGGGGAUGACUGUGUCUUUGGCCACACAGGUUAUUGUGGGGAUGGAAAUCCUCACUUUCCUCUGCUACCCUCUCUUCACUUCCAUCUGACCAAAAUCUUCAAGGGUUGGCUUUGAGCACAACCACCAAGUCUAGGAUUUGUUGCUGGAUUGAAGCCACUUGGAAAUUUGGAUCAAUGGGAGUUUUGUGUCUUGGAUUCUGAUAAGAUGAUCACUGAAGUUCAUUAAACAUUUAGCAUGGAAAGAAGACUGAGAACCAUCUUUGGCAGGUUUUAGCUACAAUCCAAAUUCAAUUUGCUUUUCAGAAUCAGUGGCAAGUUCCUAUUUCUUCCCUAUAGACUACGUCCCUUGGGAGAGACAGCUUGAAUUCUUCACACAACGGUCUCAGGUGGAUAUGCGUAUUGGUUUCCAAGUAGUCAAAUAUUCUAUUAUGAUUUUUUUUAAGACAAAACUUUGAGUUAUUCAGAAAAAAACUAGGUAAGUGGAGGUUCUUAAAAAAGACAAGGACCGAGCAAAGGAAAGGGAAGUUGUCAGGAAAAGCUGGGGUAUCUGGAAAGUAUUGCUAAAGUAUGUGUGGUACUUGAUUAAAUAUUUCUGAAAGCCAGAGCCUAGAGGCAGUACAAGAAUCAUUGGGAAAGAAAUACUGCAUAUUCUGGGGAAACCAAUCAGUACCAAACACUGGCUUGGUAAAAAUUGCCAGCAAAUUAUAAUAGUGCUCUGGUCUUAUACUUUAACUGUAUCUCUCACGUGUUUAUUUUCUCUGUGUGUCUCUGGAGUUAACCAUAAAGACUCGGGAUAGACACCUUACCCUGCCUCUCAGACCUGCAGGGCAGCUGGACCCUGGACAUGUUCUGCCAAGCAGGUGCAGUUUGACAAACAACAGGCAUGUAUCAGACCCUUCCAUAAAGCCACGCACUUGCUAAGUCCUAGGAAUUAAAAAGAAAACAUUGGACACAGCUCCUGCCUUUCAUGUCCUUAUAGUCUAAUGGAGGACACAGGCCUUCAAAUACAAAUAGAUCUGGACCUUAGCACCGAUUGAUAAUCAAAAGUAAUUAAAAAGUUGAUGCCAUUCUUAACCCCAGCCUCCCUCAAAAAACACUUGUGGCAUAUCCGAGAGUAUCGUUUUUCCACACUGGCCAGACAUAUCCUUCCCCAUCUCCUUCCACUCUCUCCCCUGGAUACCCAGCUCAAGAUUAUUUGUUUCAUUUAGGAGUGCCUGGGUGGCUCAGUUGGUUAAGUGUCAGACUUCCACUCAGGUCAUGAUCUCAUGG